rnacentral:rRNA from 1 species
AGUGAACGCUGGCGGUAGGCCUAACACAUGCAAGUCGAACGGCAGCACAGUAAGAGCUCGCUCUUACGGGUGGCGAGUGGCGGACGGGUGAGGAAUACAUCGGAAUCUACUUUUUCGUGGGGGAUAACGUAGGGAAACUUACGCUAAUACCGCAUCCGACCUACGGGUGAAAGCAGGGGAUCUUCGGACCUUGCGCGAUUGAAUGAGCCGAUGUCGGAUUAGCUAGUUGGCGGGGUAAAGGCCCACCAAGGCGACGAUCCGUAGCUGGUCUGAGAGGAUGAUCAGCCACACUGGAACUGAGACACGGUCCAGACUCCUACGGGAGGCAGCAGUGGGGAAUAUUGGACAAUGGGCGCAAGCCUGAUCCAGCCAUACCGCGUGGGUGAAGAAGGCCUUCGGGUUGUAAAGCCCUUUUGUUGGGAAAGAAAAGCAGCAGGUUAAUACCCCGCUGUUCUGACGGUACCCAAAGAAUAAGCACCGGCUAACUUCGUG